rnacentral:lncRNA from 1 species
CUGAUUCUGAUCCUUCUGGGGGAAUCAUUCAACAUUUUAUGGAGGAAUGGAGGAAUGGAACAACUGCCUUCAGAGAAAGCAGAAAGCCACUAAAGCAGAUGCUUGAAAUCUUUGCUGGAGGCCUUGUAAAAAGUUAUGCACUUGUCUUAGUUCUUUUGAGGAAUCUGGAGGUAAAGAACACAAAGCGAAAGAGACAAGAGACAGUGACAGACUGAACCAUUGGAGAAUAUAGCCCAGAGGUGGGAUGAGAGAAGGCCUCACUGGGCUGUGCUGGGCUGUCUAGGCUGCAACUAGCUUCCCUGCCCCAGCCCAUAAAGCUGCAACAAGACUGAUUAGAAAUGAUACAAUUAGACUCAGGUGAUUAGUUCAAGUAGAAGCAAAGUUCAUCAGUCUUAAAUCUCCAAAUCUGCUCCAUAUCUGUUCUCAGCUGAUAUCCCUGGGCUAGCCUCUGUGUCUUCUUGUCCUCUCUGAUCUGUGCCAGUGGAGGAGACAUGGAACUUUUGCGACAAGUUGAACAACAGUGAUCCUCAGUAAUGAGGUUUCACAGGCCAGCCUGGGCAGAUCCAGUUGGAUGUGGAUUUGAGUCUUAGCCACACUCUUUCCUUCUGCAAUGCCAGGUACAUACCCCCACAAAUCUGGAAGCUGGAGUUUCAAGUUCAUGGUUGUGAUCUAGACAUUAGCAACUUAGAAGGCUCCAGCACAACUUUUGCUCCAAGUCUGCUUUGGCCACCGGAUGAAGAAUCCGGCUCCUCCCAGAAGAAGCUCCUCACCAUGGCUCCCAUGAGGAUUUUAUGGCCGGUUGCACAAGAGAGACAAAGGGCGUCUUUAAAUUACACAAUCCCCAGCAUACAGCCUUGGUCCCAUUGGUUGAUUUUUCUAUUUUCCCCAUGGUUCUCCUUGAUUGCUUUGCCUCUGGGACUUUUCCCCUUUGACCCAGCCUUUUGGAG